rnacentral:rRNA from 1 species
AAACUGCGAAUGGCUCAUUAAAUCAGUUAUCGUUUAUUUGAUAGUACCUUACUACUUGGAUAACCGUGGUAAUUCUAGAGCUAAUACAUGCUAAAAACCCCGACUUCGGGAGGGGUGUAUUUAUUAGAUAAAAAACCAAUGCCCUUCGGGGCUCUUUGGUGAUUCAUGAUAACUUAACGGAUCGCAUGGCCUUGCGCCGGCGAUGGUUCAUUCAAAUUUCUGCCCUAUCAACUUUCGAUGGUAAGGUAUUGGCUUACCAUGGUUUCAACGGGUAACGGGGAAUUAGGGUUCGAUUCCGGAGAGGGAGCCUGAGAAACGGCUACCACAUCCAAGGAAGGCAGCAGGCGCGCAAAUUACCCAAUCCCGACUCGGGGAGGUAGUGACAAUAAAUACUGAUACAGGGCUCUUUUGGGUCUUGUAAUCGGAAUGAGUACAAUUUAAACCCCUUAACGAGGAACAAUUGGAGGGCAAGUCUGGUGCCAGCAGCCGCGGUAAUUCCAGCUCCAAUAGCGUAUAUUAAAGUUGUUGCAGUUAAAAAGCUCGUAGUUGAACCUUGGGCCUGGCUGGCCGGUCCGCCUCACCGCGUGUACUGGUCCGGCCGGGCCUUUCCUUCUGGAGAGCCGCAUGCCCUUCACUGGGUGUGUUGGGGAACCAGGACUUUUACUUUGAAAAAAUUAGAGUGUUCAAAGCAGGCCUUUGCUCGAAUACGUUAGCAUGGAAUAAUAGAAUAGGACGUGCGGUCCUAUUUUGUUGGUUUCUAGGACCGCCGUAAUGAUUAAUAGGGAUAGUCGGGGGCAUCAGUAUUCAAUUGUCAGAGGUGAAAUUCUUGGAUUUAUUGAAGACUAACUACUGCGAAAGCAUUUGCCAAGGAUGUUUUCAUUAAUCAGUGAACGAAAGUUAGGGGAUCGAAGACGAUCAGAUACCGUCGUAGUCUUAACCGUAAACUAUGCCGACUAGGGAUCGGGCGAUGUUUCUAUCUUGACUCGCUCGGCACCUUACGAGAAAUCAAA